ACGCGAUCCAUCUUACAGUUAUAGAAUCACCGAGACAUAGAAAAUACAUCAUUAAUCUUAUACUACAUUUUUUUAUUCUUUCUUUUCUUUCCACUACUUUUGCUCCCCACUUCAUUUUGCCACUAACUCCACUUCUUCACUAUCACCAUUAUAUUUGUCAAGCCACCACAAUAAUUCUUCCACUUAGCCUACAUCAACUCACGUAAACCAAAUUCUCCUUUAAUAAUUCAGCAGCAAUACAUAUUCUUCAUACUCCACUUAGUCGACUCCAGCCAAGAACACCAUAUUCUUCAUCCUCCACUUAGAA
rnacentral:lncRNA from 1 species